rnacentral:rRNA from 1 species
GAUGAACGCUGGCGGCGUGCCUAAUACAUGCAAGUCGAGCGAACGGACGAGAAGCUUGCUUCUCUGAUGUUAGCGGCGGACGGGCGAGUAACACGUGGAUAACCUACCUAUAAGACUGGGAUAACUUCGGGAAACCGGAGCUAAUACCGGAUAAUAUUUUGAACCGCAUGGUUCAAAAGUAAAAGACGGUCUUGCUGUCACUAAUAGAUGGAUCCGCGCUGCAUUAGCUAGUUGGUAAGGUAACGGCUUACCAAGGCAACGAUGCAUAGCCGACCUGAGAGGGUGAUCGGCCACACUGGAACUGAGACACGGUCCAGACUCCUACGGGAGGCAGCAGUAGGGAAUCUUCCGCAAUGGGCGAAAGCCUGACGGAGCAACGCCGCGUGAGUGAUGAAGGUCUUCGGAUCGUAAAACUCUGUUAUUAGGGAAGAACAUAUGUGUAAGUAACUGUGCACAUCUUGACGGUACCUAAUCAGAAAGCCACGGCUAACUACGUG